CUCCUGUAAGUAUUUUACUUUCAGAUUCCAAGUGACUAUUUAUUUUUACAGUGUGAGGCAAACACAACAGUAUGAAACGUCAUUGGGAGCUGUGUUUUCUGUUGAUUCUACUAGAGAAGAAGAGAGUCUGUAAUCAUGGAGAAUAGACCCAGGAGUGUAACUGGCUCUGAGUCCUCAGAGACAGUGAAGCCUCAAGCACCAGCUGGUAUCACAUCGCCGAGGCCUGUGGCUGAGGAACCUUUGGAAGAUGCCGACAGAGCUGCUUCACAGAUGUUAUCAACCAGAGGACCAUGGGACUCAGUAACAGCGGCCACCGAUGAAAAGGCCUUGGAGACGAUACACAUGGAACGAAAUAACCUGGUCAAAUUACUUCAAAACAAUGCUGGUAAGGUCUUGGACGAGUUGUUCUUCCAGUUGGUGAUCACACAGCAGGACUACCGUCGAAUCAACAAAGGAAAGGAUGCAGAGGACAAAAUAAGAAUAUUGUUGGAUGUGAUCCAGCGGAAGGGGGAACUGACCUGUAAGCAAUUUCUGGAGAGUUUACAAAGCCUGUUUCCUGAUUUCCAACAGCACAUACAAUACUCAGGACAGGGUAAGUGGUGUCAGUGUGUCUGGUUUUAAAAAAUCAUUUUUCCACACUAAGAGUGUAAUUGCUGCAACACUGAACGGGGGGAUUUGUUCCCAACUCGAUUCCUACUUAGUAGAUUCAAAUGCUGCCUCCACCUCUUGGACAUAAGGGUUUCCUGGAGAGAGAGGUGGUGCUCUUCCGCUAUGGAAGGAGAAUGGGGUGAGGAUUCCAGGGCCUGUGCGGAUCUAUGCAUCUCUAGUGCUGCAUAUAGAGUUCAUCUAUAUAUAGAGUAAGGGCCCCUGCCUGGCAUUUUGUAGCAAUAUGUGGGAUCCAGGGCAGGGUGGCCGAGACAUAACUAUUUCCUAGAGCUUUUGCAGAUAGACAGUUCUAGCAAGGGCUGGGUUGGGUAUGGGCCUUGUAAUAUCUUUGGGAGUUUUAUUGGUGGUUGAGUUUUGUUGGCGUCUGUGGAGGGAGAUACCACUGAUUGAUUUUGUUUCAUGAAUUUAAUGUUGAGUUUCCAAUUGUCACAUUUUUAACUUGACAUAAAUAAAUCAAUACCUUCAGGCAGCUAAUCCAAGGGGCUUAUAGUGGCAUGGUAGCUCCACUGUACUUAAGGUUGAAACUAGUUUACUGUUUAACAGCUGACAUUUCUUAUAUGCUCAUGUGCGUACUUAGAUUGCCUUGAAAUUUGCUGUGUCUCAUCAGGUCUUGGGGUAGGGUUAGUCCAAAAUUAGGGUCUUUUCAACAAUGGGAUCCUGAGGCACAACCAUCAUAUAUCAACAUUUUCCCGUUCUUCUAAUAUGUUUUGGCACACACCUGGGGCUCUGUUGCAAGCCAAAGUGUCCGUCACCUGAGCUCACAUGUGGAUCAAGGUGAUCUGCUGUGCCAUUGCUCUGGAGCCACACCUGUAAACUGAGACUCUUGAGUACUUUCCACAGAAGCUUUCUGAGAACAUGUGUUGGGAUCAUUAAGUUCUCUGCCUGCUUCACCUGGAAGUUCUGCUUUUGGAUUUUUUGCCAGAAAACAAAGCUUCUGGUGUAAAAGCUGAUCUUUCAAAGUGCUCUUAAAUCCACAGGCACACUCUGAUUGGCUUGAAGAUUCUCAUUUGUGCCAGGGACAGAGUUAGAGGUUCAAGAAUGGGAGUAUUUGGUGAAGGAGUUCCUCAGAUACAUGCACUUCAGUAAGAAGCUGAUUUUAAUAUUUCCAUUGCUCAGAAACGCAUGUCUGAGAUAGAGGUAAUGGUGCAAAUUUGCGGUUCUUAGAAUAAAAUCAUCUGAGAAUAUAACUUGUCCAAGUAUCACCUUUACCCGAGAGUAUGUAACAUCAUCUCCCAUUUCACCUGGCCAGCUCCCCCGCAGUUUACUGAGAACUAUUCUUAUUUGCGCUGUCUCUGCUUUUCAUG